rnacentral:rRNA from 1 species
CCAUGUCUUGUAAUUGGAAUGAGUAGAAUUCAAAUCCCUUUAUGAGUAUCGAUUGGAGGGCAAGUCUGGUGCCAGCAGCCGCGGUAAUUCCAGCUCCAAUAGCGUAUAUUAAAGUUGUUGCGGUUAAAAAGCUCGUAGUUGGAUUUCUGCCGAGGACGACCGGUCCGCCCUCUGGGUGAGCAUCUGGCUCGGCUUGGGCAUCUUCUUGGAGAACGUAGCUGCACUUGACUGUGUGGUGCGGUAUCCAGGACUUUUACUUUGAGGAAAUUAGAGUGUUUCAAGCAGGCACACGCCUUGAAUACGUUAGCAUGGAAUAAUAAUAUAGGACCUUCGUUCUAUUUUGUUGGUUUCUAGAACUUAGGUAAUGAUUAAUAGGGACAAUUGGGGGCAUUCGUAUUAACGCGUCAGAGGUGGAAUUCUUGGAUUGCGUUACGACGAACUACUGCGAAAGCAUUUGCCAAAGAUGUUUUCAUUGAUCAAGAACGAAAGUAUGGGGAUCGAAGACGCUUAGAUACCGUCGUAGUCUAUACCAUAAACUAUGCCAACUAGAGAUCGGAGGGGUUAUCCUAU